UACAGAGGUCCCGAGCGUUAUUCGGAAUUAUUGGGCGUAAAGGGCGCGUAGGCGGCCAUGCGUGUCUUCCGUGAAAUCCCUCGGCUUAACUGAGGACGUGCGGAAGAAACUGCAAGGCUCGAGUCCGGGAGAGGGGGGUGGAAUUCCCAGUGUAGCGGUGAAAUGCGUAGAUAUCGAGAGGAACACCUGCGGCGAAGGCGGGUUGCUGGGCUGACACUGACGCUGAAGCGCGAAAGCUAGGGGAGCGAACGGG
rnacentral:rRNA from 1 species